rnacentral:pre_miRNA from 1 species
UAAAUACUUUCUUGGUUCCAAAUUUUUUGUCUUAGAUUUGUCUAGACGUGAAUGUAUCUAGUCAUAUUUUAGUAUUUUGAUACAUUCAUGUCUAUACAAACCUAAAACAAGAAUUUCGAGACGGAAGGAGUAUAAG